ACUAUUUUGGCAGAAUAUAUAAAGUGCAUUAAAUUUAGAUUUUAUUUAUAUGGAUUAUACCAUAAGUAGUA
rnacentral:tRNA from 1 species